rnacentral:lncRNA from 1 species
CACUUCUGUUUCUCUUUUGAGUUGCUAUAAAGUACAGACGAUUCUACCAACCUUGACACAAACGCCCAGCUGCCCCCAGUUCAGUGCCACAGAGAAAAGCCUUGCAGAACAGGUUGAGUUUGUGGAUGGGCAUGGGGUAGAAGGUAUCAUCUCUUCUCUAUCAAUGACUUGGGUGAUACUUCUGGCAACAAAACAGACAGUUCUCGGCCUCUGUGUUUUCAUUGUCCAACUGAAGAUUAGACAAGAGGCAGCAUGGGGUGGUGGAUAAAUCGUGGACCAGGAUUGAAGCGAAGAUCUGCUCAUCUGGGACACUCACCAGGUUGCAUUCCGUAGAAGCAGAUCCUGAUAAGAUGAUGAAGUGCACAUGUCUCUUGAGAAAAUGCUCUCAGGAGAAGGGGGGAAGGUAAGCCAGGUGCAGCAGAGGACUGAGCAAGGUUGGGGUCUCAGCUGGACACUUCUUGGACCUGUUCCCACGGGAGCUCUGGAGUAUGAACUGUACCACAGAAUUGUCUCACCUAGAGGUAAGGGGCCUGCCUUUUGUACCCUAUGCCAGUCAUGGAUUACAUGCUGCCCCUGGUGGGAAGGUGGGGAACCUCCCAAUGGCGAUUCUCUGAGGAGGGCAGCUGUGAUUUCCUUAGCAGACAACACUCUCAGCAGCUGGGAGAUGGGUGUAGCAACCACUCUCCAUGAGACCACCCAUUCUCACCCCCUCCAACAGCAAGCAUGCCUGAGCAGGUGGGUCCCAAGAUCUAUAUUCUCAGAAAAAUUGGGAAACUAAGCUUUAGUCUGCUAGCCUAAGCCACAUUUACAGCCUGAAGGGUAUGUUGUCCUUUCCCAGCGAUCACAAAAAGGAUGCUUUAUUUUCUGUUUGGCUUCUAGUUCUUUUGAACACAGAAAACUCUGUCCGGGACCCUGGAGGGGAGAAGCAAAGGGAGUUGGAGGGUUACCAAAACCUUUCUCUCAUUCCACAUUAGACACUGCCUGUAUGGAGAGAGGUGUGUGAUACAGAGAAGAGUCAAAGUGACUCAAAGUCUCAGCUGAGAGGUGCUACUAAUGGACAUCAGCUCCCACAAGCCGCUGCUGGAAACCCUCCCUGGCUUUGGACAGCACUUGGCUUAGAUUCCAAACUCUGCAUCCCAUCACCAAAGCCUCACCUCAUCUAAUCACUGGCCACCUCUCUAACCUCAUCUCCUCCCACUCUCCUGUUAUCAUGCUCCAGCAGCUCAGCAUCUUUUCUGUUUGGGGCCUUGGCUCUCUCAGGGCUUUGGUGCUUGCUGUUCCCUGCACCUGGAAUAGUUUCCUCCCUGGAGAAGCCAAUGUUGGUCACUCAGUCCAAAGAGGUCCACACCCCUAACCCAUCACCACCUAAACUAUCAUUUCCUGCUAUUUCUCUUCUUCAUUUAUUGCUUGUUUAUUGGAUUCUCUCACCCCUCUCUAAAAUGCAAGCUCCACGAGAACACAGAUAUUGGCUAAAUUACUUGUGGCUGUAACAUCAGUGACUACAAGUAGGAAGGUCAGGGAAGGGAGCUAUUUGAGAGUGAAGGAGGAGGAAGAAUCAUAUAUAAUAUUUGGUAGAAGCUGUGAUUGAUGUUCCAGUGAAAUAUGUGGAUGGAAAUGCCCAGGAGACAGCUAGAGAUGCCUGGCUAGACCCAAGAGAGUUUGAGCCUGGGAUACAUAUUUCGGAGUCCUUCCCAUAAAGCUAAUAGCUAAAGUCGAUAUGGAAGAGAAGACAGUGAAGAGCAGAGCCUUAGGCAACACCCACAUUCUGGAGAUUUAUUUUAUCAUGUUACCUAGAAUGUUCCUCCAUCUCCUAUUAAGCACCCCUCUCUCAAACUGAAGUUGCAGCUUAAGAAUUACUUGCCUCUUUCCCCACAUUUAUAAUCCCUGCCCCCUGUUGCAGAUGCAGAACAGCAACCCAAGUCCCUUCUGGAAGCAGCCCUCUCCCUCCUGGCAGCUGACAGAAGUCUCUCUGGCCAGGCCGGCCUUUUGGCUGCUCUGCAUAUGGAAGUUCAAUUACUGUCAAUGGGAGGCCCAUCGGCAGGGUGAGGGCAGAAUACACAAUGGAGAUCGGUGUACCAGAUAGGCGCCUAGAUCAAAGAAGAACCCAGAGUUUGUGAAGUCCUUUCAUCCUCCCUGAUGAAAGGGAGAAGCUUACUGCUGUUUUCAUGGCUCUGCAUGCCCGGGGAAAGAGGAAGGCCACAGGAAGGUGACAGCUGAGGCAGGUCUGGCUCCUGGAGGAUGGGACACACAACGUGGGAACCGGCAAGUCACCAGAGUCAUCUCAGCCAAGAUCAACCAAUAGUCAAUUACCAGGAACGUGAGAGAAUUCUGAGACCAGGACUGCUCAGCCACCUCUGCCUAAAAUACCAACACACAGAACAGUAAAGUGAAUGGAUGUUUAUUAUCCUAAGCCACUAUAUUUUGAGAUUGUACCUCAUGCAGCACUAUUAUGACCAUAGGUGACUGAUAUAAAAAGUAAGGAAUUAUGAAUCAUAAGAAAAAGAUGAACCAAGGAAAGAAUCAGCUUUGAAGAGGUGGUAAACUAUGGGAGUUGGGUAUGCUUUUCUGCAAUGAUCUUGUCUUAUUUUCUUUUUUUUUAAAGGAAGGCCUACCUGAAUAAUUCUGUGCAGGAAGAUAAAAGCAAGAUUAGAGUGAGACCUAUUCAGGGAGGUGUCAUUUUGUGAGCAGUUCAUGACCAUACCCAAUAAUCAGGGUCUGUCUACAUAUCUGAAUUUUAAUCCUUACAUAUAUGGCCUUAGAUGAACUAAAAUAAUUAUAAGAAGUUGUGUCAUUGUAGACUUCUAUUAAUAAACAUAUACCUACAUAUAUACAUGUUUAUGCACAAGAAUCAGCCUGUAUAGGCAUAUUUACCUAGGCAUAUUCAUUGCAUAGUGCUCUCAUGGUUGUGACUUGGGUGGGUGUAGCAAAGUGACAGGCCAGGAUCUCACCACAUAGGAAGAACUUUGGUCUGGCCAAGACAGGGCCAGCUAGUGGCCUCCCUGCCAUUAGCUCUGUCUGCCACCCAAGACAGAAGAAGCCAACAGUCCAAAGGGACAUAGCAGCUUCAUUUUGGUUCUAGUUAGUGGUGCCAUAGAAGAGGAACAGGCAGAUAGGAUCUCAUCUAGGCCAUGAGACAAGCAAGAGUUCUCAAGAAGGGUAGACUCUUAGAAACAGGAGGCCAGUGAGACAUGGAUCUAAGAGGCAUAGCCAGGUAGAAGCAGCCCUAGUCAAUGGCUAGAAGUAUAAUAUCCCAAUAAAAGAGGCAUUCUUAGAAAGCUGGGCAGCAUCUCAGGACCACACAUGAUUGGGGAAAAGGGGUUGGUGAGGGGCAGACCCAGCCAGUUAGGCCUGUAGGUGCUGGGACAGGGUGGGGGAUGCAUUGUACCCACAGAAUAAAGCCAUAAGGGUGAAUAGCAAGAGCCACAUUGUGGAUCACCCUGGAGCAGGUGUCAGAGUGAAGCCUGACAUAUGGAAGCUCUAGGAACACAAUGGUAACCAGGGGAAUAGAGGAAGAAAGAGAGGUUUCAAGGCCUCAGUAAAGCUGAGACUCAGGAACAGCAGGUGUGCACAAGUGCUAAGUGGUCUGGAUUAAUUCACGAGCUGGGUGCCAAUGCCUGGCUCAGCUUCUAUGGGCUCCUGGAGGAUCCUUAAGAGGUGAUAAAGUUCAGGUAAAGACAGUGGACUGGGACCAGGCAGAGCCUGGGAUCCUGGGGUCAUAUCCAGCCCAUUACCAAAUCCUGUCAAUUAAACUUCCAAAAUGUCUCUGAGAUCUGCCUGGGGCUCUCAGCAUCUUUCCCACCAUUGUCUCUUGUCUUGAUUUAGGCAGUGGUCCUUACUUGUCUUCCUGUACGGCUGCCAGAGGGGAAUUUUAAAUAUAUAGUUUGGAUUGCAUCAUUCUCCCUGUUUAAAACCCUCCAAGGCUUUCUGGAUUCUUUCCCAAUAGUUUCAAACACUUUACUCUGAGCGUCUUUGUCCCAUGCAUGCCAUUCUCCCCCUUUCUUGCAGCUGCAGACACAGUGACCAGGCCUUGGUUGUAUGAUGCCUCCAGCUCGUUUCUAAGUUAGGACCUUCGCUUUUGCUCUUCCCUUUACCUGUAGGCUCUUUCUCCCGCUCCUCAUGGGGCUGCCUCUUUCUCUUCAUUCA